rnacentral:rRNA from 1 species
AGAGUUUGAUCAUGGCUCAGAGUGAACGCUGGCGGCAGGCCUAAUACAUGCAAGUCGAACGGCAGCACAGCAGAGCUUGCUCUGUGGGUGGCGAGUGGCGGACGGGUGAGGAAUACGUGGGAAUCUGCCCAGUCGUGGGGGAUAACGUAGGGAAACUUACGCUAAUACCGCAUGCGCCCUUCGGGGGAAAGCCGGGGACCUUCGGGCCUGGCGCGAUUGGAUGAGCCCACGUCGGAUUAGCUAGUUGGCGGGGUAAAGGCCCACCAAGGCGACGAUCCGUAGCUGGUCUGAGAGGAUGAUCAGCCACACUGGAACAGAGACACGGUCCAGACUCCUACGGGAGGCAGCAGUAGGGAAUAUUGGACAAUGGGCGCAAGCCUGAUCCAGCCAUGCCGCGUGAGUGAAGAAGGCCCUCGGGUUGUAAAGCUCUUUUGUCCGGAAAGAAAAGCGCCGGGUUAAUACCCUGGUGUCCUGACGGUACCGGAAGAAUAAGCACCGGCUAACUUCGUG